rnacentral:tRNA from 1 species
GGGCUGCUAGCUCAAUGGCAGAGCAGGGGACUUUUAAUCCCUUGGUUCGGGGUUCGAGUCCCCGGCGGCCCA